rnacentral:rRNA from 1 species
UACGGAGGGUGCAAGCGUUAAUCGGAAUCACUGGGCGUAAAGCGUGCGUAGGUGGUCAUGCAAGUCGGGUGUGAAAUCCCCGGGCUUAACCUGGGAACUGCAUUCGAUACUACAUGGCUAGAGUAUGGUAGAGGGAAGUGGAAUUUCCGGUGUAGCGGUGAAAUGCGUAGAUAUCGGAAGGAACACCAAUGGCGAAGGCAGCUUCCUGGACCAAUACUGACACUGAGGCACGAAAGCGUGGGUAGCAAACAGG